rnacentral:piRNA from 2 species
GGCCUGUCAAAGCACCAGGUUGAAGGAUGA